UGAUUGGGGGACAGAGAGGUGUUUGGCUGGUUGGGUGGAUUUUUAUUACUUGUUACAUUCAUUCUGUAUUCUGUCUGUCUGUAUGAGUGUGAGACUAACUGUUUAUGGAUCGAGGUAUUUCAAUAUUUAUACAUUUGAUUUGUUGUGAAGAUUAUUCGUAUAUCGGAUUGCCACUGAGUUUUAUUUUUUUAUUGUGACAUUUUGGUGAUCAUUUAUCUAUCAUUUUUAAACUCACAC
rnacentral:lncRNA from 1 species